CGUCUUCACGGGUCUUUCUGAGUUCUGUUCAUGACACAAAAGCAUUGUUUGUACCAUCUGUCAGUCAGCUGAUGGUUUCACAUAUGGUGUCCCCAUCACUAGUGGUGCAGGAGCACAUCUGCACACCACCUAGGGCAGGCUGUUUAAACAGGUUUUACAAAGAAAUAUAUUCAAAAUAAGGAGCUUUUCGAAACGGCUCGUUUUAGGUACACAAGUCCUGAAACUAGGGAUGCCCCGAUGGAUCGGCAUUUGAUCCCAAUCGGCCGAUAGCGCCCCUAUCGGUUUUGAUCUGAGUUGUCAAAGUAGAUCAAAGCAGACCGAUCAGGUAGGGUUGUCACGGUAACCGGUGUAGCGGUAAACCCCGGUAAAAAAAGUUGACAAUAAUAAUAACCGUCUUGUUUUAAAAAAAAAAACAUAUAUUAUCUCGGUGGAUUACCGUGGCUGCGGUGUAGGCGCGGUGACCCUUACCAGCCACCGUAUCAUCUGCUGAAGUUGCCGGCGGCACAUGUGCACUUUGUUGUUUACAACCAAAACUUUCUUGAAGCUAAAGCUGAAAUAAUGGCCAAAGGAGGAGACGGCAGCUCUCAGGAGGACAUUUAUUAUCCCUCAAAGAAGACAAAGUGGGAAGUACGGGCAUCUUUUAGAUAUUUGAAGAAUGCCGAGGGACAGUUGAUAGAAGACGGCUAUCCUGUUUGCAGCACGUGCAGAAAAAGUGUCUGUGAAAGGCAGCAACGCUUCAAAUCUCAUGACACAUCUGCGUGACCAUCACCCACAACUCUACAGUCAACGCAAGGCAAGCUAACGUUAGCGUUUUAGCUAAAAUGCGUGAUCCGAGGAUUUGGGUUGAGGGAGAACGCAACGAGUCGCUAUAUAAAGCAGCCGCAGCGCCGCUACCUGCAUAUAAUUGAAAUAUAGGCUAAUUCAAAUAAUCAAGGUGUGUUAUAUAAAACCAUAAAUGCAGUGCUUUCCCCAGUUCAAAAACUAUUUUCCUCCAUGUCCGCUGACUUGUGUAGCCAAAUCCUGCAGUUUUUCUUAAAUAAGAUUACUGUAAUCAGAGCUCAGAUUCACCAAACCAACCAUGUUCCAGAUUCAUUUAUCCCCUCUGACGGGCAACUUCAAAGCUUUCAGCCCAUCUCUUUGCCCUGUCUAGAAAAAACUGUUGCAGCCAUGAAACCCUCUGGCUCCCCAGAUGAUGUUAUCCCACCUCGACUCCUGAAAGAGGCGUUUCCUUUAAUUAGCAAUAACGUGCUAGGCAUUAUAAAUAGUAGCUUGACAUUGGCUGAAGUUCCUCGUGCCUUUAAACACGCGGUUCUACAACCAAUCUUGAAAAAACCCGGCCUUGAUCCCAACGAUUACUCUAAUCUACGACCAAUUUCCAAAUUACCAUUUUUAUCUAAGGUCCAUGAGAAAAUAGUGUAUGCAAAGUUGGUGAACCAUCUAAAUGAAAUUCAGGUAAUGGACACCUGUCAGUCUGGUUUUAGACAACAGCACAGCACUGAAACUGCUCACGUUCGGGUGUUUAAUGACAUUUUUCUGGCUUUAGAUUCAGGUUUCCAUGUGGUUCUGGUACUUUUGGAUCUAUCUGCAGCAUUCGACACGAUCGAUCAUGACAUUUUGAUCACAAGACUUCACACUUGGGCUGGCAUUUCAGGCACUGCCCUGGAUUGGUUUAGGUCAUACCUUUGUAACAGGUCUGCUAGGGUCAUGUUGGACGGCAGUUCAUCCGAGUCACAGCCUCUACGUUGGGGUGUCCCACAAGGUUCAAUUCUCGGCCCGUUACUGUUCAACCUCUAUACACUGCCCUUAGGAGCCAUUUUCAGAAAGCACGCUGUCUCAUACCAUCUUUACGCUGACGACUGUCAAAUCUAUUUUUCAUUUAAGCCAACUCAAUCAACGCAAGUUCUGUCUGAUUGUAUCCUUGAGGUCAAGCAAUGGCUAGCUGACAACCUCCUCCAUCUUAAUGACUCCAAAACUGACUUAAUCGUUUUCAGUCCUAACAGUACCACGGCGACUCAUCAACCUGACCUCAACUAUCUCUCACCUAAUGUAUCCUCUGUAAUCUCCAACCUUGGAGUAAAAAUGGACCAGGCUCUGAAGAUGGAUGCCCAGGUCAAUAACACAGUUAAAUCAUGUUUUUACCAACUAAGACGCAUCUCGAAACUAAAGCACAUCCUGAGUGUCGGUCUUCUGAAAUCGGUGGUCCACACUUUUAUCACCUCAAGGCUGGAUUACUCUAACUCCUGCUUAUACGGCAUCAGUAAAGCAGCUCUUUCUAGACUUCAGCUGGUCCAGAAUUCAGCAGCUAGGUUGCUGACUGGAGCUGACAGAAGACAACACAUUUCUCCAAUUCUGAAAUCUCUCCACUGGUUGCCCGUGCAGUUCAGGAUAAACUUCAAAAUUAUGCUUCUCACUUACAAAUCCUUGAACCAUCAAGCUCCUCCAUAUCUGUGUGAACUGGUCCAUUACUACAACCCGCCGCGUGCUCUCAGGUCUGAAGAUAAGCUCCUCCUAGCUGUUCCCAAUGCACGUUUAAAAAGCCGUGGAGAAAGGGCUUUCUCUGUCUGUGCACCCAAGCUGUGGAACGCAUUACCACUGCUAGUGAGGCUAGCACCAACAGCUAGCAUUUUUAAAUCACGCCUGAAAACUCACUACUUCAACCUAGCGUAUACCACAUAAUUAUGAACCUCACUGACAUCUGCACUGUUUAUAAACUGACCCCACAAUUAUCGACUUCCGUAUUAUUGAGGUUCUUUGUAAAAUGUUUUUUCUAAUUUUUAUUCUCCCUGUGUCUUAUUGAUUUUUAGCUGUUAGUUUUGGUAUUUUUGUUGUAUUUCCUUUUUAUCUUUUAUCUGUGUUCGACAUGUUUGUAUACCGCCGGUUUAAUUAACCAACAUUUUUAGUGUACAGCGCCUUGUUUGGUUGUAAUGCCUUGUGAAUGCGCUUUAUAAAUAAAAUUGGAUUGGAUUGGAUAUAAACCGUGUCGCGGACACCCCCAUGUUGAAAUGACGCUAUGCAUUACGGGGCUCCCAGGGGCAGAUAAGAGCUGGUCUCUCUCCGAGAAUAAUUAUGAAUUUAACAAUGAUUACUGCCUGAUGACAUUUUCCCACAUCUGCAAAGCUCACUGGAAGGACACAAACCAAGGACGAUAUUUUCCUGACAUACAGGGUUUAUUUAAUUGUGUGAAAAUGUAGCACAUUUAAAAAAAUACCGCGAUAAUACUGAAAAUCGUGGUAAUUUUGGUCACAAUAACCGUGAGGUUACAUUUUCACACCGUGACAACCCUAAUACAGACCAUUUUAGAUUAGGUUACAUUUCCUUUAUUCCCAGAUUAUGUAGUUUGUAGCACUCAUUAUAAUGUUGUAGAAAAUUUCUGGCCAAUCCACGUGAUCGGUAUCGGUGAUCAGCAUUCUUUGAUAUCGGUAUCGGUAAUUGGCAGCAAAAAACCUGAUCGGUGCAUCCCUACCUGAAACCAAACACUGACAGAGAACGGACGGCUUCCUUUGAUGUUUGGAGUGUUUAGAGGCAGUAGAGACCUACAUGGCAUCUGCCACAGGGUGUGGGAUGUGGGAACACCUGGUGAGGACACCAUGAGGACACGAGUAACCUUCAGAGCAUUCUGAUGAGGGAAACGGCGUUGUUUCUGAGGCCUAUUUAGUCUGUUCCUGUUGGACUCUUAUCCAGUUUGUUUAGGUAGCGAGACACAGGUGUGUGGUUACCAUGGUGACCCCCAUUGAGCCCCUUCAGCAGCUUAAACUUUUGAACUGUCAUAAAAGCAGGCAGUGGCUGACCUGGUGCCAUUCCACAUCUGCUCUUGCUGUCACCAAACACAAUGGUGUCGUGGAUGGGGGCUGUUGGGGUUAGGGUUAAUUCAGGUGGCUGAAACAGACUCCCUGCUGUGUGAAUGAAACCAGGUCAUUUCCUUUGCAGAUUCUAGUUGGAGAGCUGUGUUCCUUCUUCACCAAGGCACAGGGAACCCAGGAGAAGACCAUUGUCACUGCAGACUGCUGCUACUUCAACCCCCUGCUCAGACGCGUCGUCCGAUUCUUAGGUGUGUACACCUUUGGCCUGUUCACCACUACUAUUUUCGCCAACGCCGGCCAGGUAGUGACAGGAAACCAGACGCCCCACUUUCUG